UGCAGUCCAGUGAGGCCAAGUGCGGAUU
rnacentral:piRNA from 1 species